AACAAAAUUAGUCGUUACGGACCCUUCGGGGUUAAAAUGGGAAAGCGGUGCAAAUCCGCUGCGGACCCGCCACUGUAAGUGAGGACGAAAGCUGCACAAGCCACUGUUUGCCAAGGCAAAUGGGAAGGCGCGGCAAGUAGGAUGAUCCACGAGCCAGGAAACCUGCCGUAACCGUUGCCGUUCC
rnacentral:ncRNA from 2 species